UCUAAGUUUGAUGGCGACCGGCGCACGGGUGAGUAACACGUAUCCAACCUGCCGAUGACUCGGGGAUAGCCCUUCGAAAGAAAGAUUAAUACCCGAUGGCAUAGUUCUUCCGCAUGGUAGAACUAUUAAAGAAUUUCGGUCAUCGAUGGGGAUGCGUUCCAUUAGGUUGUUGGCGGGGUAACGGCCCACCAAGCCUUCGAUGGAUAGGGGUUCUGAGAGGAAGGUCCCCCACAUUGGAACUGAGACACGGUCCAAACUCCUACGGGAGGCAGCAUG
rnacentral:rRNA from 1 species